rnacentral:tRNA from 1 species
UCUGUAGCUCAAUCGGUAGAGCGAUUCACUCGUAAUGAAUAGGUAAGGGGUUCGAUUCCCCUCA